GGGACACCUUGAACUUGGGGCGCCGGGAGUCAAUGAGACAAAACGACGUCUCUGUUCGCCGCGACUUGUCACUUCGCGGUAACAUAGGCACCGGGCGUAGGAAACUGGACAACUGGCCCCUUCUGAAUGUG
ensembl:ncRNA T28B4.7 ncRNA